ACUGAGGCAUGGAUGCUGGGG
rnacentral:misc_RNA from 1 species